rnacentral:tRNA from 1 species
GGAUAUAGCUCAGCAGUGCAGUGCCUGCCUGGCAAGCACAAGGCCCUGAGUUCGAGUCCCAGUAUCAACA